CAAAGCCCUGCAGGGAAAGUUGCUCGAUCGCCCGUUUCUCUUCGCCCCCCCCUUCCCCUCCCCCUUUUCCUCCUUCUCGCCCCGACUCCCCCAACCCCUUUCCCCCUCCUCCCAUCUCUCCUUAAACGGGAUUCCGGCUCGGGACGGCACCACGGGGCAUCCCGCAGCGGCAGCCCCCGGGGCUCCGGCAGGUCCCCGCUGUCCCUCCUCGCGCACACACACACACACACACGCAUACAUACAUACAUACAUACAUACACACACUCACACACUCACCCCACCCCGAGAAGCAGUGAGAAUUAUAAUCCCCCUCCUCCCUACCCCGUCCCCCGCUUCUCUCCCUUUAACCCCUCUCACUGGUGUGGCAAACCGAUCCGGGGGUGCCGUGUCCGCUCGGGAGGGCUCAACCCAAAGCAGCCCCCGGUCCUAGGGGGGUACAAUGAGGUAGAGGGCGGCGGCGGAGCGCCCGGCCGGGGCCGCGGCAGGAGGGCAUGAGACGGAGAGCUGCGGGGAUGGGAGGCAGCGCUCGCUGCUGAGAGCCGGCAGCGACCAAGCUCCGAGGACGGCAGCCCGUACAGCUCACAGGGAUCCGCUUUUCACCAUGGGAUUGCAGCUGGCGCUCCUGCUCGCAGGGAUCGUCGCGCUCUCGGACUCAGCGAGAGGUAAGGACCGAGCAGCUCCAGCCCUCCUGCUUGCUGCCUUGCCGUGCACACGUGCUCCAUUGCUGCCUCCUGGUGCUGCUGGAUGCAGCGUGGAUUUGUGCUGUGGUCGCAGGUGGGCUCGCAUGAAGCUUUCCUCAUGCAUCCCAUUUGAUUUUAAAGGAAAGCAGCUGCAUUCCUCCGUGGAUCAGAAAUACCUCUCCCCUCUUGUAAUCCCCCCCCCUAGCCCCUGCGCCGUAUAUUCCCACCAGCAAAUGUAACAAACACAUCCAUUAACCUUCCUGGUGACAGACAAAUGACAGCUCCUGAUAGUGAGAACGUUUAAGAACUGGGGCUCCGGCAGUCAGUCGGGUUUCAAUGCACAGGUUACCAAAUGCAUUGACCUGGGAGUGAGAAGGUGCCUUAACCCAAGUGUGGGGUCAGAGCAGGGAAGACUGCCUUUUCCCCUGCCCCAUACUUUGGUGGGUGCUGUCUGAAUGGGAAACCAGGGCUCACAAAGGAGGGGUUGCAUUGUACCAGCAGAAUGGGUGCGUAGCUUUAGGAUGUAGAUUGCUUCAGCUGCACGUCCCAAGAGGAUCGGAGUUGUGUGGAUGAGUAUUGGAGUUGAGUGAAUGAGUACUGGAGUUGCAUGAAUUGGUGAAAGAGUUUUAAAUCACCUGAUGCAAUGAAAAGAUCUUAAAACUUGUGCUUCAUUGGAGCAUAAUUUGCCAAAAAUAAAACCAAAGGGAUGGGGAGGGAGCAUUGCUCUACAAACCCAAGGCUCAAAUUAGUGCUUUGCUUUUUUUUCCAUCUUCGCAUUGGCUCCCAAGCAAAUACUUUACGGAGGCAGAAGCACUAUAAAAUGAUCAGCUGGAAGCUGAAUGAAAAAGAAAACAGUGCAUAUAGGCUCAGAGCCCUGCAGACUGAGUUCCCAGCCAGGUCUAUAAUGUAGACUCCGUUGAAGUUGUAGGCAGCGAGCUAUGAAAUAAGACGACCUCAUGGAUGUAGGUUAUUGCCAUAGACUUGAGGAGUUGGUGGAGUUCCGAAAAAAAUCUGAAAUGGGCAAAAGAAGACAAAAGGAGUUUUGUCUCUGUUGUGAGCGGAGUGUCGGCUGCUUUCCUGGCAGCCCCUGCUUCGAUGCUGUUUGCACUUGUCUUGCUCGUAUUCUUUUAUUGCCUCUGGAAAACGUGGUGCGAUUGACUGCGGGCUGCUGCCGUGUGAAGAAGAGCCAGACAAUUAACAGCGUUAAUUUCAGAACAUCGUUGUUUUUCCUAUGGAAAAGGUUUUUAUUUUUUAUUUUUCAAGGCAAGAUUAACAGGGUCACAAUAGUGAUUGGGUUUGUUGAACUCGCUCUAUUCAGAGCUGGAAAAAAAACAUCUUGCGUGUGGAUGGAGAGGUGGUGUGUGUUGUUUGAAAUGAAAUAGAAUAUAAAUCCAGGGCCAAACCCAUGAAAAAUAUCAUUCACUCAUUGUCUAUAAUGAGGGAGGAAGAGAAGAAAGAAGUGUAAAACAGAGUAGAAACAGAGCCACGGCCCUACUAUUACAACCCUGCUCUGCCUCUCUUUGAAAUUGAGAGUAUUAAAAGGGCGAUGGGUGCAGAUGAAGGAUCAAACAUCUACAUGAGCAGAGGUGGCACAUCUCUGGCACACUGCAGCCGCAUUUUGGGAAGCCAAUCAUCACUGAUUAUUGGUUGUUUACUUUGGGAUAACUUCAGAUUCUUGUAAAAACGUGUCCUGCAUGAAUGUGCCUGCAGAUUUUUUCCAAAUGUAUCAUGUGGUACAUUUGGUGGUGGGUAGGUGUCACCUGCUUGAAUCUAUCGGUCAUUUCUCAGCCUGAGAUUUUUAUCUGGAGGUAGAAGAGCUCUUUGUUUUGGCCAAAAAGCCUUUAGUAGCCCUGUCCCAAUUGCAAAUUUUACACGUGUGGCACAAAGUGUGCCAGCAUUUCCUAACCUGAGUUGUCAAGAGGUGCUCAGGUGAGGAAGGUGGCUGAGAAGGUUCUGAUUGAAAGCACUGGCCCUUCUCUUUUAUUAGGCAAGAGGAGAUUUUGGUGGAAUUAGGAUGUUGUUUGUGUGCACUGCAUUGGGUAAGGGCUGUACCAAAGUGCAUUUGCACAAGGGGGCAGAGGUAAGUUGCCCACGCAACACAGCCUUGCUAUUCCCUGGCAGCUCAUCUGCAAUCUUGCAUUAAUGUUGCCUUACAGUAUUUUUACCUCUGUAUUUAGGUGAUGCCUUUUAAGGAGAAGGAACCCACAGGGCUGCCUGAUAGGGCCAAUGCUACAGCUUUUUCCCAGGUUGGGAGCUGUGCCCUCUGGCUCUGUCCCUUCUUGCACAUUUGCGACCUGUUGCGUCUCAUCACCCACACACAAAAUAGUGAAAUAGGGGAUUUCUUAGGUAACCAACAUAAACUUUUAAGAAAGCAGCAAGAUAAGUAUCGAGAGCAAGGCUUUAUUUUAGAGGAUCGGGUGUGGAACUUAUUUUGUCUGAAAGGAUGAAGGAUGAGGUAGUUCUGUCGAGGUCUGAACCCAUAUUUUCCAGUACUGAAAUUUAAAGACUUUGGCUAGGGGCUUGUCUACACUGGAAUAACCCUUCCAAAAUAGGUAAUCUGGAAUAAAUGCCCCAGAGACCAGUCUUAAUCCAGUCUGAGGACUCUCUGAAAGGAGCCUGUGCUCGGUGGUUGCUCCUUGGGAGCUGUUUGGGUGAACCUCCACACUCCUCCUUUCCUUACUGGGUGAACAUGGGAACUUCUGUGUGCACAAAACCCACCCUUUGAGCACAUAACCUGCUCUCAGUGGGGGAAUAUCCCUCCUGGCUGGCAGCCGAGGCACAGGGUGACAGCUCCAGCCUUUCUGCCAGCAGCCCUGGCUACGUCAGCCCUUAACCUGGGAGAAUGAUGCAGGGCCAGUGGCUCGUCCCUCAUGUCGCUCCAUUCCCUACCCUCUGCACAGCCCUAUACUGGGCAUAAAAACCCUCCUCCACGGGGACGAAUGCCAUCUUGGGUCACUAACCCUUGGUGACUAUGUCCCGCAGCAAUGUGGCUCCAACCACUCCACACCUCCGGUCGGAUACAGGUAAUACAAUCUGAUAUUUUCCCACUGGUGUUAACUCAGUGACACACGACGCAAUAUUUGUUCCAAAUCUGUCAAGUUGCCAUCCGAUUCACUUUGGUUACCGUAUAUGGUCACAUUGGGAUGUGCUUGGCUUGGUCCCGUGGCUUAAGCAAGAUUUUGUACGGUAUGUUUAGAAGUUUUUGGUAAGAGCAGUGACAACCCUCCUGUUAGCGAGUAAACUGAUAUUCUGCUGGAAACUAAUUAGUUUGGAUGUUGAUUUCACUUUUCAGUGCCUUGCGUAGGGAGGGAAGAGCGGGACCUUAAUUACUUUCUACUCUUGCACUUCUCUCUGCUCCACUUGGCUUCCAAGUCUGGUUGGUUCCUGCUUUAUGGGGAAUGUGUUGGAACUACGUUAAAACUCAACAGUUUGGUGCAGAAAUAAUGCUGUUUGCCUUUUUUGCUAAGCAUUGGAGAAAAGGGAAUGGGAUACUAGAAAGUUUGUGGUUGCGUUUAUUAUUAUUGUUAUUUCUUGGAAGCUGUGAGUACUUGAUAUAUAAACCACAAAGUUAGGGAAGGUUAAAUAAGAGUGAACGGUAUUUAAUGCGGAUAAGGUAAUGAUAAUAUAAGAGAUGGCUGUUGGCUUCUGUUUACAGUCUCCUUUAUUCCUGCCCCAAUGUUGUUAUCAGGUAUAACAAUUGGGUAAUUCUUUACUUGUGAAAGAGAAGCGCACUCAGACCCACAGUCUGAUCCAAAUUUUACGUAAGUCGCUGCAGAUUUCCUGGUUAAGUUUGGUGUCUUUUUUGGGCCAUGCUCUUAGGGAACUUGCUUGUGAAUAAUCUGUCAUCACAACUUGUACUGAAAGCCAACAAGACAAUCUACGAAAAUCCUGGUUAUUUUUUAAGCUGUGGUUCCUCCCUUCUUCCAAGACCGUCGGUCUCUUUAAAUUGUGGCUGAGUUUAAACAUAAAGUACAGCAUGUGUCGUACUGGAAAAUUAGAUUUUUUUUUGGUUAUUUAUUUAUUUCUUAAGGAAUAUUACAGAACUCAGCAAAUGGCUCAAGUGCAUGUGGAUUUUCCUUAACAUUUUUAUAACUUUGUUUUUGAAGUACGUGUGCUGCUUUGACCUUCAUUAAAGGACGCAAGCGGCAAAUUCACGUGUCUGUUCUGUGAUGCACCUGGAAGCAGCUCAGUUCCAAAGCCAGACUUUUGUCUACAGAAGAAAAAUUUACGUGCCAUGAGGCUGUGCUUGAGAAAAUACAGAAAAAAACCAGUUCUUUCAUAAGAAAAUAUUGUUCAAAAAAAAGCAAAAAAGCAAAAGUGACACUUGCUAGGAAGUUGGUACCUACUUUUUUGCUGGUGAAGCUGAUUAUUCCUUUCCAGUGGGUGUAUUGCUGUGCAAUGGGCUUGGAUCUGCUUAGCCACUGCCUUGACUGCGUAUUUUGGAUUAUUUACUGGAAAAGAGAAAACAUUUCUACCAAAGUGGGAAAAUAAUAAUACGGAAGUCUUCUGCCUAUCUGAAAUCAGAAAAUAGAACAUCAAAACCCUUUGGUCACAGCUUUGUUUAUUCAGUGGGAGAGGAAUCUGUGCAGCUUUCUGAUUUUCCUAAGGUGUGAAACUCCUGCUUGUGUCCGCAGCAACCUGUAGAAUUGUGCUGUUCAAAGGGGCCGUGCAAAUGUAUCCCUGCAUUACAAGUGUUGGUGGCAAUGUUCCUUUCUCUUUCAUUUCGUUAACCCCCUCAUUUUGUCUUGUUUCAAAGAGUUGGUCUUUCAUCUGCCCUCUUCCUGUGUUUUCUGGUGAGCUGCUCAAGCUGAAAUGCAUUUGAUCUUGUUUUGGACAUUUAAUUUGGAUUUCUAUCCCUUUUCUUGCUCUCUGUAAUCAGUCUUCCCUUGGAGCAUUCUGUAAUAUAAGCACGCCUGUGUUUUUAGUUGGGUUGACCUGUCCUCAUAUUUUGCACCAAACUUUUUAUGAAUGCUUGUGUUCAUAGAAGGGAACUUUUUAAGAGUAGUGUAAAUGUGCAAGUUGCAAAGACUUUUGCAAGCUUAUUGAACCUGGCACUCAUUUGUAUCUGCCGUGGUACUAUGAUAAAAGAAAGAAACUUGCUCAAACAGCCUGAUCCUGCUGCCCUAACACUGGAUGAGAUAAGCAGAUGCAGCCCAUGCCAGGUGGAACAGGUUAGGACCUGAUUUGGAGCCUGUGAGCAUUUAUGCUGUGACUCCUCCUCGCUCCCAUGGGCUUUGAAUCCAUCUCUUAAGGAUGACCUGCACAGAUGAUACAUGAUAUCAACUGCUGGGCUGAUCCCCGCUGUUGUCAGUAAUGGGCUAGGGGCAGGAUUUUGGAUUCUUCCACUUGCUUGCUCAAUGGGACAGCUCAACUGGAUUUUUUUCUCCCAGAAACACACAGAUUCUGCCUGCUGCAGGCUCAGGCUGGCAACUGGAGUGUGCACAGCGGAGGCUGAAAGCAACUUGGAAAUUCAUUGCUUUAACUUUGGGUUUUAUCCUCAAAGAAUGGGUGCCAUUCUGCAGGCAGGGUUGCUAGGUGUGGAGGAGCUGACAACUGGCCUAAGUGUUAUUUAACAAGUUAAUAUAUGCCGACUGAAUCCUUUCACAUCUUGGAUUUUUUCUUUUUUUUUCUUUUCCCCUUUCUGAGUCAAAUAAACGGGCUGCUUGGAGCUUGAUUGCUUGCCCUCAUUACACAGUCUCCCCAUUGUAUUGCAAUAGAAACACAGUAUCCAGCAGUGCUGUGAAUAACCUGAAGUUCUUAUUUCAUCCCAACCACCCUGAUUUUCAGGAAGAAUUUCAGCCAAUAACUCUAGGCUACUUCUUCCAUUAAGUGUUCAAACUUAAUUUUGAGCUUUGCUAAGGGAAGAAAAAUGUAAAUUGGGAACAGAGGCUUCCCAGAGAAGGUUAAUGUUUCUCGGGAGUGCUGCACCUCUAUUCCCAGCCUGUCCUGCGUAAGAGUACGAAUGGCUUCUAGUUUAUAAAGAUCCCGAAUCACUGCUCCUCAUGUCUGGGAAAUGUAUUUCAAGAACAGUUGACACAGUCUUGGGUAUCCUGUCAGGUGGCUGAGAAGUGAAUAAUGCAAGGAUUAUCACAACUGAAGUGCCUCUUAGGUUGUAUCGCCUUCAAUGAUUAUUUUAAGAGCUGUAUUUGUGCAUAUGAAAUAAAAAUACAGGAACAACAGACAAAUGCAGAAAUGUUGAUUUUUAAAAAUUUGCCUAUUUCGCAAAUUAAUUCCUAUUCUCUGUGCUGGGUUGGCUCAUGUAUGCCUGGUGAACUGAUGGGUGUAGGAAUUUGGUACCGCCUUGUACUGAUUACCAGUGGCAGCUGUGCACCUCCCAGUUCUGUCCAGAACAAGAUGUCCAGGAGGGAAGAAAGUUGGAAGAGGUCAUGGAGGGAAAUCUAAGGAUUAGCCAGCCUCUGGGAGGCAAUUUAGUCUGAACUACAGUGCUGAAACUCUUGAGUCCUUGUGAGGCCAAGUGUUGAAAGAGAGACUUGAACGAACGGACUGUGUGCAUGAUCAGGAUGGUGAGAUGCAGCUAUUCCAAAUCUGCCCUGCAUUUCUCUUUUCCUUUGUGUCCUCCCAGAUACCCCAUAUCAUUAUAUAUCUGGCGAAGUACCUAAUUGAUUUUUGGCCACUGUGUGACUUGGAGCAGAAUUAUCCUGUUGCAAAGAGAGGCUUUUAUUACAAUUGUUAGUAUUUUCCUAUUACUCUUUAUAAACUUAAAUCUUCUGUUUUCUAGACAUGUGAUUUGGGUGAGGCCAAAUCAACUCCAAAGGAGGGGGAAGAAGCAGUUACUCAGCCCCCCAGAGCAGAAGCAGCCCAACUAGAGGAGUUAGGCUGCUACAGACCCUGGGCUGCUGUGAACUGGUUUCUUUUUCUCCUUCUUGACUAACAGAUUUGUGUGAGUUGGAGUAAUUGAGGAAGCUGUUUUCGUUCUCACCUAACCCAAUCUGUUAACAGUGGUUAAGCAGUGACAAGUGUCAGAGAAGUUGCAGGUGUAUGAACUGCAUGUCAAGGAUAGAAAGGUUAAUGAGUAACAGGACAAACCUCUGGAUAUUAUGGGAUACCUCUCCAGGGUUGCUGCAUGCUUGCUGGGUAUUGAGCAGUUGAUGUAAAAUUGGUGGUUAAAAGCCCUUAAAACUUUGGAUACCUUUGGGAUAGGAAUGCUUUGAGCCUCUGCUUCUGGGUGAACCAAAUUCUUUAAUGUUCUUCUCCAGAUUAACACAAUAUCCUGGUGGCAAUCACAGUGUCUGUUUAGCUGGGUGAGUAAUAUUAGGAAGUACUUAAUAUAUUUUAGGGCACAUUUAAAGUGGGAUCUGGGAGGGCUAUUGCCAGCUUUACCAGCAAAUGGAGACCAGUCUUGCUGCUUCAGAAAGUCUGUUCAUAUCAAAGCAUUCAGAGUCAGGUAUUGUUCCAAGUUAUAAAGGUAACAGUCCUUUUAGGUUCAGUAAUUGUGGCUGAGUGGCUGUGAGUAGGAUCAGAAAUAAUAAACCUACCAGAGAGCAGGAACCGGAGCCUCAUCAGAGCAGGUUGUGUGUCAGACCUGUGUAGUGUGGCAUUAAGCCAAGGCAAGGUUCAUCAUGAUCUGCAGGAGUUAAUAUAAAACUAGAUUAAGGGAUCAGAGCUGAUGAGUAUCUUUCCUCCUCCUGGUAUUCACAACCAAUCAGAAAUGCAGUAUUGCCGGGGUUAAUUUUGUUAGGGCCUAAUGAGAGUGGAGCAUUCCACUUAAUCAUGGCCUCAGACAGGUGUUUACUUUUCCUUGACAGGUUUGAUUGACAAAGAGUUGUAAACCCAUUAUGGAGACAUUUACAUAUGUAGGGGAACAGGCUUUGGACAGUUUAUUUCUAAUUGCCACAUUUGUUAUCUGGAAACGUUUAAGGUAGGGAUGGGCAAGGCUUUAUCUAGACCAGAGCAUGCUUGUAGCACUGAGGCAGAAUGCUUUGUUUGAUUCCCUGCUUACUCAAACUGAGAUAGACCAGAGGGUAUGGAGAAUUUCAAGCAAUAGUCUGUGAUAGUGAUAUGUAUGGGCAGUAGCCUCAGGAUGUUUAAUUGGAAAUUCUAUCUGUGGCUUUUCUUCCCAAGAGAGUACCCCUAUUGGGAUGAGCAUUGCAGGCUCACAGAGGUGGGAGUCUGUCCACUGAUUCUGUAUUUUACCACUAAUCUUAAGAGUGCAGCAAGGAAUUAUUCACAAACAAUUUGUAUGUUUAUAAUAUUAUUAAUAUUUAUUGAGGGUUUCUGGGGAACAAAAAAGACCCAGAGCUCAGCACAAGGCUCCUCUUCUAGAUAGCACUGGAAGAAAAAGGUUUUCUCUCUGAAGACUACAGACUAGCUAAGUGGAGUUUCAGGCUUAUUUUCUUUUUAUCCUAGAAAAUCCAAUAAAUCCAGUAAAUUCUUUCAGUGUGGUCUUCCAAGAGUUUUUCAACUUCGUCUGACUCACAGAUUAUUUGAGUGCCAUUAUAGACUAGGGGUCAAGCAAGUUAAUUCCCAGAACAGUAUGCUGCCCUGUUUUCAAACUGUGCUAAUCAGGGUUUUGAGUCAAAGCACGGUAGUUUGCUUAGUGAAAUUAUUUUCCUGUUAGAAAAUUACAAAUAGGCUCUGACUACUCCUACUGGCCUCAAACACUGAGGCACACACACAUCACAUGUGUGCAAAGCCCCCGGGGACAUGCUCACUGGGAUCAGGGCACUGCUGGGGGCUUGGUUCUCAGCUCCCAAGAUUGAACUCAGAAAAUGGGCUGGCUCUGAAGCCUUAUUUA